GAGUUUGAUCCUGGCUCAGGAUGAACGCUGGCGGCGUGCUUAAUACAUGCAAGUCGAACGAGGUCAUCCACGUAGCAAUACGAGGGUGGUCCUAGUGGCGAACGGGUGCGUAACACGUAGGCGACCUGCCCCGAAGUGUGGGAUAACACCGCGAAAGCGGUGCUAAUACCGCAUGAUCUCCCCGAGGUCAGAGUCUCGGUGAGCAAAGGCGUAAGCCGCUUUGGGAGGGGCCUGCGGCCCAUCAGCUAGUUGGUAGGGUAACGGCCUACCAAGGCAGCGACGGGUAGGGGGCCUGAGAGGGUGGCCCCCCACACUGGCACUGAAAUACGGGCCAGACACCUACGGGUGGCAGCAGUAGGGAAUAUUGGACAAUGGGCGAAAGCCUGAUCCAGCAACGCCGCGUGCGCGAUGAAGGCCUUCGGGUUGUAAAGCGCUUUUCGGGGGGAUGAGGAAGGACAGUACCCCCGGAAUAAGUCUCGGCUAACUACGUGCCAGCAGCCGCGGUAAAACGUAGGAGGCAAGCGUUAUCCGGAUUUACUGGGCGUAAAGCGCGUGCAGGCGGUUCGGUAAGUCGGACGUGAGAGCUCCUGGCUCAACUGGGAGAGGCCGUUCGAUACUGCCGAACU
rnacentral:rRNA from 1 species